rnacentral:misc_RNA from 1 species
GAUGAAGAACGUAGCGAAAUGCGAUAAGUAAUGUGAAUUGCAGAAUUCAGUGAAUCAUCGAAUCUUUGAACGCACAUUGCGCCCGCCAGUAUUCUGGCGGGCAUGCCUGUUCGAGCGCCAUUUCAACCCUCAGGGCCCUUUUGGACCUGGCGUUGGGGCUCGGCCGCUACCCUGCGGCCGUCCCCGAAAGAUAGUGGCGGUCUCGCUGUAGCCUCCUCUGCGUAGUAGUUACAUCUCGCACUGGAACGCGGCGCGGCCAUGCCGUUAAACACCCCACUUCUCAAGGUUGACCUCGGAUCAGGUAGGAAUACCCGCUGAACUUAAGCAUAUCAAUAAGCGGAGGA